rnacentral:rRNA from 1 species
AGUGAACGCUGGCGGUAGGCCUAACACAUGCAAGUCGAACGGCAGCACAGUAAGAGCUUGCUCUUACGGGUGGCGAGUGGCGGACGGGUGAGGAAUACAUCGGAAUCUACUUUUUCGUGGGGGAUAACGUAGGGAAACUUACGCUAAUACCGCAUACGACCUACGGGUGAAAGCAGGGGAUCUUCGGACCUUGCGCGAUUGAAUGAGCCGAUGUCGGAUUAGCUAGUUGGCGGGGUAAAGGCCCACCAAGGCGACGAUCCGUAGCUGGUCUGAGAGGAUGAUCAGCCACACGGGAACUGAGCCACGGUCCAGACUCCGACGGGAGGCAGCAGUGGGGAAUAUUGGACAAUGGGCGCAAGCCUGAUCCAGCCAUACCGCGUGGGUGAAGAAGGCCGUCGGGUUGUAAAGCCCUUUUGUUGGGAAAGAAAAGCAGCAGGUUAAUACCCCGCUGUUCUGACGGUACCCAAAGAAUAAGCACCGGCUAACUUCGUG